AUUGAACGCUGGCGGUAUGCUUAACACAUGCAAGUCGAACGGUAACAGUAGAGAGCUUGCUCUCUAGCUGACGAGUGGCGGACGGGUGAGUAACGCGUAGGAAUCUACCUUAUAGUGGGGAAUAACCCGAGGAAACUGGGGCUAAUACCGCAUAAGUUCUGCGGAAGAAAGCUGGGGCAACCUGGCGCUAUAAGAUGAGCCUGCGUCAGAUUAGCUAGUUGGUGGGGUAAAGGCUCACCAAGGCAGAGAUCUGUAGCUGUUCUGAGAGGAAGACCAGCCACACUGGGACUGAGACACGGCCCAG
rnacentral:rRNA from 1 species